GUAACUCCCAGGGGACAUUAAUAAAUAGGACUGUGAUAAGCAACAUACAUUCCACGGGUAUUCUACUAUUUGAUGCAUGUAAGGCGAUUUCGGGUAGUGGAAGACUUUGGAAUGUAUGUGGUAAUCUUAAAUGGGAACGAACUUAUGGGUUUAAUGAUAAAUACUUAUGUCCCAGUAUAAGAUCUACUGAUCCUGAUUGCCCAAAUAGAGACUAACUUCU